rnacentral:rRNA from 1 species
GCGAAAGUUGGCCUAAUGCCCUAUGUAGUCGUUUGAUCGCCUGAGAUUUCGACGAAAGAUUUAUCGGUAUUGGAUGGGGGAUGCGUCUGAUUAGCUUGUUGGCGGGUAAAGGCCCACCCAAGGCAACGAUCCAGUAGGGGUUCUGAGAGGAAGGUCCCCCACAUUGGAACUGAGACACGGUCCAAACUCCUACGGGAGGCAGCAGUGAGGAAUAUUGGUCAAUGGGCGAGAGCCUGAACCAGCCAAGUAGCGUGCAGGAUGACGGCCCUAUGGGUUGUAAACUGCUUUUGUUUGGGAAUAAUCGACAUUACGUGUAAUGUUUUGCAUGUACCAUUCGAAUAAGGACCGGCUAAUUCCGUGCCAGCAGCCGCGGUAAU